UACGUAGGGUGCGAGCGUUAAUCGGAAUUACUGGGCGUAAAGCGUGCGCAGGCGGUUUUGUAAGACAGGCGUGAAAUCCCGAGCUUAACCUGGGAAUGGCAUUUGGGACUGCAAGGCUUGAGUGCGGCAGAGGAGACUAGAAUUCCUGGUGUAGCAGUGAAAUGCGUAGAUAUCAGGAGGAAUACCGAUGGCGAAGGCAGGUCUCUGGGCUGACACUGACUCAUGCACGAAAGCGUGGGAGCAAACAGG
rnacentral:rRNA from 1 species